rnacentral:rRNA from 1 species
UCGGGAAUUUUGGGCAAUGGGCGAAAGCCUGACCCAGCAACGCCGCGUGAAGGAUGAAAUCCCUCGGGAUGUAAACUUCGCAAGAACGGGAAGAAUAAGUAGGGGACAAUACCCCCUAUGAUGACGGUACCGUUUGUAAGCUCCGGCUAACUCCGUGCCAGCAGCCGCGGUAAUACGGGGGGAGCAAGCGUUGUUCGGAUUUACUGGGCGUAAAGGGCGCGUAGGCGGUCAGCACAAGUCAGUUGUGAAAUCUCCGAGCUUAACUCGGAAAGGUCAACUGAUACGGUGAGACUAGAGUGCAGAAGGGGCAACUGGAAUUCUCGGUGUAGCGGUGAAAUGCGUAGAUAUCGAGAGGAACACCUGCGGCGAAGGCGGGUUGCUGGGCUGACACUGACGCGGAGGCGCGAAAGCUAGGGGAGCGAACGGG